GCUUCAUUAUUACAUUAGUUUAUUUUUUCAUAUUCGAAGAUCCAGAAUAUUACAUCAGUUUUUUUGGUUUUGAUAUGCAGAGAACUUUGAGAAUUAUGAAGUUUCCUUCAAAUUAUGUCCAUCACUCAACCUCGAGUACUGACGCCUCAAAGCUAUCGGAAAGUCAAGAAAGUAUUUCCUGUUACGGAUGAAGUCAAGUAAGGAGGUUGUGAUUUCCAAGUCGUACAGCCAUCUACUUUGGCUAUUUUGAGAUGAAGCAUGACUUGCUGCAAAUGGAAUAUCCAGCUCUAAUGAAACUCAAAGGAUUUUGACGAGGCUCAACAAUUAUUUGGGAAGUGAAAAGUUUUGAAGGUCUCUCUGCUCAAGUCGAGAAGGGAAAGUUGUUGAAUCGUUAAGUGGUAUUUAUUCUCAUGUUGGAUUGAGCAUCAUGACUAUGGAUGUAAUAGCUUGUAUGGUUCACUUUGGACUAGGCAUGCACAACUUUAAAAUGUGUCACAAGGGUCAAAUCCCUUUGGUUUUUUCAUAUGUUUUCUUCUUUA